AUUGAACGCUGGCGGCAGGCUUAACACAUGCAAGUCGAGCGGUAACAGAGAGAAGCUUGCUUCUCUGCUGACGAGCGGCGGACGGGUGAGUAAUGCCUAGGAAUCUGCCUAGUAGUGGGGGAUAACUUGCCGAAAGGUAAGCUAAUACCGCAUACGUCCUACGGGAGAAAGGAGGGGACCUUCGGGCCUUUCGCUAUUAGAUGAGCCUAGGUCGGAUUAGUUAGUUGGUGAGGUAAUGGCUCACCAAGACCGCGAUCCGUAACUGGUCUGAGAGGAUGAGCAGUCACACGGGAACUGAGACACGGUCCAGACUCCUACGGGAGGCAGCAGUGGGGAAUAUUGGACAAGGGGGGGAACCCUGAUCCAGCCAUGCCGCGUGUGUGAAGAAGGUCUUAGGAUUGUAAAGCACUUUAAGUUGGGAGGAAGAGCAGUUAACUAAUAUUUGACUGUUUUGACGUUACCGACAGAAUAAGCACCGGCUAACUUCGUGCCAGCAGCCGCCGUAA
rnacentral:rRNA from 1 species